CUUCAACGACCCUAGCCACAACGGACUGCCCGGCUCCCGCUCCUGCCCAUAGGUGGCCAGCAACGCCUCCGCCUC
rfam:Streptomyces sp. MTSC 1 23, whole genome shotgun sequence.